rnacentral:lncRNA from 1 species
ACCUAGCUCCUAGACCUCAGCAGGAUGGAAGAGAAGCUGAAUAAAGCCAAGAUCAUCUUUGUGGUGAGCCAGGUCUGGCUCAGGAAAGGGUACCCAAUGUGAGAAGAUUGUGCAGAAAUAUGGCUACACCUACCUCUCUACUGGGGACCUGCUGCAAGCAGAAGUCAGCUCCGGAUUGGAGAGGGUCAAGAUGCUGUCAUCUGUUAUGGAAAGGGGGAAGCUGGUGCUGCUGGAGACAGUGGUAGACAUGCUCUGGGAUGUUAUGAUAGCCAAAGUGGAUUCUUCCAAGGGCUUCCUGAUUGGUGGCUACCCAAGGGCAGCAAAACAGAAAAUAGUUUGAACAGAAGAUUGGACACCCCACACUGUUAUUGUAUGUAGACACAGGUCCCGAGACCAUGACCCAUUGACUCCUAAAGUGAGGGGAGAGUGGCUGUGUGGAUGACAAUGAGGAGACCAUCAAGAAGAAGCUAGAGACUUACUACAAUGCCAGAGAACCUGCCACUUCCUUCUAUGACAAGUGUGACAUUGUGGGCAAGGUACCAAAGGUACCUUGUUCACCAAAGGUAUGGUGGACACUGUCUUCUCCCAAGUCUGCACCUAGUUUGAGUCCUUGAAGUAACUGGAGCCAUUGGCCAGCUUCCAGCCCACCUUGACCCUUGACUCCAGGCAGCCUGGCUCGAGCCCAGCACCUCCACCCUGCCAGGCUGUGCACAGACACAGGAAGCAGCCACAUUUUUCUGUGCCAUGGACAUCUGAGCACUAAAGAAAUUGCCAGGGAAGUUUAGAAUUACUCCCUUUUCUUUGCUUCCAAUUGAGGUGAUUCAUGCUGCCACAGCUGGAGGAUCCAUAGCUGCCAGCCUGUUCUUGACCGUGCCUCAGCCCAGCUGUUUUGUUUCACUACAGCUCUUCUGGGAUCCUAGUCCCUUCCUUAGCCAAGCCAUGUCAAGCCUAGGUAGGGGCCUCUGGGGUGAUAGGCUGCUCCUGGGGUGUGAUGUUUACCCUCUGUUCCUCAUAUCCUUGUUGUACAGCUAUUGUUACUCUGGAGUGAGUUCGUUCUCUUCUCUUUUUCUUUUCUUUUUUCUUUUUCUUUUUCUUUUUCUUUUUCUUUUUCUUUUCUUCCCUUUCUCUCUCUCUCUCCUCUCUCUCUCUCUCUCUCUCUCUCUCUCUCUCUCUCUCUCUCUCUCUCUCUCUCUCUCUCUCUCUCUCUUUCUCUCUCUGACAGCACCUCAGGUAACUUAAGCAGGCUUCAAACCUGCUAUGUAACUAAGGACAACCUUGAUCUUCCUGCUUCCACUUGUCUUCAUGAGUGCUGAUAUUACAGGCCAUACCUCCCCACUCCUGUUUUUUGGGGAGUGCUGGGGAUCAAGCCCAUGGCUCUGUGUACACUAGGCCAGUACUCUACAAAUUGAGCUGCAUCCCCAGGCUGGGCAGGUUUUCUAUGCCUGACUGGAACCUGGGCUGUACUCGGCAAAGGGCCACAGGCAUGCCAGCUGGGGCCACAUGGCCACUGAGUAGCAAGGAGCUGUGCUAUGGGAAGAUGAGGUCAGGGGUGGUCUUCCUGAUGAAGAGACUUGAUAUGGCCCUGCCAGGUCUUGCCACUCUUUGGCUGGUUUUAAAACUUAUUCUGUCAUUCUAUGUCCCAACCCUUAUCCUUAGCAUUAGAACAUGAACAUACAGAUUAAGGAAUGUGAGUUGUCAUAGACAUGGAUAUGGGAUCAAGAACCAGGCCUUGGACCCAGAGAGGACACCCAGGGAUCCCCAGAAGAGCUGACAUCUCUCUUCUGCUCUUUAUUCUUUGAUGUCAUUACACAGGAAGGCACUAUUUGUACUUACCUGUCCUGGGGUCUUAUUCCCAUCCCUAGUGACUUCCCCUAUAAACCCAGAUAGCCUGUAGCCAUGGCUGCCCCAGGGACACCUGCCCCUGGGGGUGAUGGUGCUCACUCCUUUCUGUUUACUGCCAGCAGGGCCACCUUUCCUUCUGCCUUGCUUAUUUAAGCUGUCCUUUAAAAUAAAUAAGUGUAUUUUAGUU